rnacentral:lncRNA from 1 species
GUAGUCAAUACAUAACUUUAGUGUCCCAUUUUUCUUUUUUUAAAAUGUGACUUUAGCACCCCAAGGAACACAUUAUGUCAUAUGAACUCACUAUCCUGCAAUUCUUUGAUUUGUUUCCUCAGCUCUUUCAUCUCAGUACGGCUCAUGCGGUAAGUGGCAACCGAGAUAGGCUAUGUGUCUGGCUAAAGAUCUAUAGUAAAUUUAACUUCUCUAUUCACUAGCAGUCCAGGUAUUUUAUCAGGAAACACAUCCGGAAAGCGUGGGACUACCAGAAUCUCUCAAAUGCAAUUUUCUUUGUAAGGUUUGUCUAGUUAGAGAAAAC